rnacentral:rRNA from 1 species
AGCAGCCGCGGUAAUUCCAGCUCCAAUAGCGUAUAUUAAAGUUGUUGCAGUUAAAAAGCUCGUAGUUGAAUUUCGGGAUUCUUCCGUUGGUCGGGCUAUCCAGUCUGUACUAGCGUGUAGGAUUCCUACCUUCUGGGGAACCAUCAUGUUAUUAAUUUAGCGUGGUGGGAAACCAGGACCUUUACCCUGAAAAAAUUAGAGUGUUCAAAGCAGGCUUACGUCUGAAUACAUUAGCAUGGAAUAAUAGAAUAGGACGGUGGUCCUGUUUUGUUGGUUUCUGAAUCACCGUAAUGAUUAAUAGGGAUAGUUGGGGGCAUUAGUAUUCAAUUGUCAGAGGUGAAAUUCUUGGAUUUAUUGAAGACUAACUUCUGCGAAAGCAUUUGCCAAGGAUGUUUUCAUUAAUCAAGAACGAGAGUUAGGGGAUCGAAGACGAUCAGAUACGUCGUAGUCUUAACCAUAAACUAUAGCCGACUAGGGAUCGGGACGAUGUUAAAUUUUUAUUGACUUCGUCGGUCGCCUU